rnacentral:rRNA from 1 species
AUACGGAGGGUGCAAGCGUUACUCGGAAUCACUGGGCGUAAAGCGCGCGCAGGCGGCUUGAUAAGUUGGAUGUGAAAGCCUACGGCUCAACCGUAGAACUGCAUCCAAAACUGUCAAGCUAGAGUCUGGGAGGGGAAGAUGGAAUUAGCUGUGUAGGGGUAAAAUCCGUAGAGAUAACUAGGAAUACCAAAAGCGAAGGCGAUCUUCUGGAACAGUACUGACGCUGAGGCGCGAAAGCGUGGGGAGCAAACAGGAUUAGAAACCCCGGUAGUCC